AGUGAACGCUGGCGGUAGGCCUAACACAUGCAAGUCGAACGGCAGCACAGUAAGAGCUUGCUCUUACGGGUGGCGAGUGGCGGACGGGUGAGGAAUACAUCGGAAUCUACUUUUUCGUGGGGGAUAACGUAGGGAAACUUACGCUAAUACCGCAUACGACCUACGGGUGAAAGCAGGGGAUCUUCGGACCUUGCGCGAUUGAAUGAGCCGAUGUCGGAUUAGCUAGUUGGCGGGGUAAAGGCCCACCAAGGCGACGAUCCGUAGCUGGUCUGAGAGGAUGAUCAGCCACACUGGAACUGAGACACGGUCCAGACUCCUACGGGAGGCAGCAGUGGGGAAUAUUGGACAAUGGGCGCAAGCCUGAUCCAGCCAUACUGCGUGGGUGAAGAAGGCCUUCGGGUUGUAAAGCCCUAUUGUUGGGAAAGAAAAGCAGCAGGUUAAUACCCCGCUGUUCUGACGGUACCCAAAGAAUAAGCACCGGCUAACUUCGUG
rnacentral:rRNA from 1 species